AGAGUUUGAUCCUGGCUCAGAUUGAACGCUGGCGGCAGGCCUAACACAUGCAAGUCGAGCGGAUGAGUGGAGCUUGCUCCAUGAUUCAGCGGCGGACGGGUGAGUAAUGCCUAGGAAUCUGCCUGGUAGUGGGGGACAACGUUUCGAAAGGAACGCCAAUACCGCAUACGUCCUACGGGAGAAAGUGGGGGAUCUUCGGACCUCACGCUAUCAGAUGAGCCUAGGUCGGAUUAGCUAGUUGGUGAGGUAAAGGCUCACCAAGGCGACGAUCCGUAACUGGUCUGAGAGGAUGAUCAGUCACACUGGAACUGAGACACGGCCCAGACUCCUACGGGAGGCAGCAGUGGGGAAUAUUGGACAAUGGGCGAAAGCCUGAUCCAGCCAUGCCGCGUGUGUGAAGAAGGUCUUCGGAUUGUA
rnacentral:rRNA from 1 species